AGCGGUAUUUUAAUCUAAUCAGAGGAACUUGUUUUAUAAUUGAUAAUCCUCAAUUUAUCUUACUUAAUUUUGUUUAAUUUGUAUAUCGUCGUCAUAAGAAUAUCUUAAAAAAGGAAUAAUUUUCUAAAAUUUUUAUUAAAAAUUAUGUCAGAUCAAGGUGCAGUUUAUGAUUAAGAAAAAAUGAGUUACAAUAAAUUUAUUUAUAUGGAUAUAAAAGUUAAAUUUUUAUUAAAAGUGGAUUUGAUAGUAAAAUAAUUUAUAGAGAUUAUUUGAAAUUAGCUCUAAAAUAUGUACAAAUCGCCCU
rnacentral:rRNA from 1 species